UACAGAGGGGGCAAGCGUUUGUUCGGAUUUACUGGGCGUAAAGGGCGCGUAGGCGGCCACCGCAAGUCGACUGUGAAAUCUCCGGGCUUAACCCGGAAAGGUCAGCCGAUACUGCGGGGCUAGAGUGCAGAAGGGGCAACUGGAAUUCUCGGUGUAGCGGUGAAAUGCGUAGAUAUCGAGAGGAACACCUGCGGCGAAGGCGGGUUGCUGGGCUGACACUGACGCUGAGGCGCGAAAGCUAGGGGAGCGAACGGG
rnacentral:rRNA from 1 species